UGUUUCCGGGACGGAUCGGGUAGCGACAGUAUCAUAACUGUGUUUGGCAACAAACAACUAAAAGAAUCAGAAGAAGAACUUCCGUUUUGCCGUGGCACUAGAAUUUAACAACAGUGACUGAAAAUAUGAGUGGUUAAGACAUCGGUGUUUUCACACGCCUGGGCGGGACAGUCGACACAGCGCUGAGCCAAUUACAACAGACUGGGUCAGCUUGACCAAUCGGAGCGUAUCAGAAGGAGGGAUUUGAUAGAAACAGGAAAUCCUCUGAGAGUUCAUGAGAAGAGAGACCGCGGUGAAGAAGAAAGCCGCAUUUUACAGAUAACUGCUGCUUUUUGAUCCCUUUCUGGACAUCUGCACAAGUUCAAUAUUCAAUAUAUCAAUGUGUUUGAAAAAACAACUCUGGGAGCAAAAACCUACACAGUUCACCUCAUUUUUUACACUGCGUUGGGAAGCGCUUGACAUCUGUAUUGUGAGCACACCAGUAGCCUACAUCACCUGAACUCUUUACAAAACUGAAAAACAUUUCCAUUUGACCACAAACUUUAAAUAUAAUGACAAUACAUGCAUGAUAAUACUACAGUAAUGAUGCUAAAAAUUCAGCUUAGCAUCACAGACAUAAAUGAGAUGUAGACGUAUUAAAAUCGAAAACAUUAUUUUACAAUGGAAUAACAUUGCACAGUUUUGUUGUUUUUGGUCAAAUAAAUGGUUCAAUUAUAAAGUCAUAAUAGACCUGUAGGUGGCAUUCGAGCUUUAUUAACAAUGGUAGGUUCCUCAGUAAACGGUGUUUCAAUAUACAUUAAUACAAGUGAAAUAAAAAUGAUAUGUACAAUUUUUUGUGAAUAAAUCUAAGAAAUUUAAGUUGUAAACAAACAUUAAUAUUACAUAUGAACUUACCACAAGACAUGCUGAAGGCUGAUUGUUGUGAAGGUAUAUUAUGACUACAGUGGGCUAAUAUCCACAAGUGUGUAAUUCUGUCCUCAAACUGCAAAUAUACUUUCAAGUAAAAUUCAUGUCUAGAGAAAGGCCAUCCGUCAGUAUUUACUGCAGUAAUAUUCUGAAAUGAAACAAGUUAAAACAUUGAAUGUUUUUCAAUAAAGGUGAC